UAAUACGGAGGAUCCAAGCGUUAUCCGGAAUUAUUGGGUUUAAAGGGUCCGUAGGCGGUUUUUUAAGUCAGAGGUGAAAUCCUGCAGCUCAACUGUAGCAUUGCCUUUGACACUGAAAGACUUGAGUUAUUGUGAAGUAGUUAGAAUGUGUAGUGUAGCGGUGAAAUGCAUAGAUAUUACACAGAAUACCGAUUGCGAAAGCAGAUUACUAACAAUACACUGACGCUCAUGGACGAAAGCGUGGGUAGCGAACAGGAUUAGAUACCCUGAUAGUCCACGCCGUAAACGAUGGAUACUAGCUGUUCGAUCAACAUUGGUUGAUUGAGUGGUUAAGCGAAAGUGAUAAGUAUCCCACCUGGGGAGUACGCUCGCAAGAGUG
rnacentral:rRNA from 1 species